rnacentral:rRNA from 1 species
UACGAGGGGAGCUAGCGUUGUUCGGAAUUACUGGGCGUAAAGGGCGUGUAGGCGGUACCAUAAGUCAGAUGUGAAAGCCCUGGGCUUAACCUAGGAAUUGCAUUUGAGACUGUGGAACUAGAGAUCGAGAGAGGUAAGUGGAAUUACGAGUGUAGAGGUGAAAUUCGUAGAUAUUCGUAAGAACACCAGUGGCGAAGGCGGCUUACUGGCUCGAUACUGACGCUAAGGCGCGAAAGCGUGGGGAGCAAACAGG